rnacentral:rRNA from 1 species
UACGUAGGUCCCGAGCGUUGUCCGGAUUUAUUGGGUUUAAAGGGUGCGUAGGCGGACUGUCAAGUCAGCGGUAAAAUACGGGGGCUCAACCUCCGCCCGCCGUUGAAACUGACGGUCUUGAGUGGGCGAGAAGUAUGCGGAAUGCGUGGUGUAGCGGUGAAAUGCAUAGAUAUCACGCAGAACUCCGAUUGCGAAGGCAGCAUACCGGCGCCCAACUGACGCUGAAGCACGAAAGCGUGGGUAUCGAACAGG